rnacentral:sRNA from 2 species
UGCGGGAUGCAGCCGAAUCCCAUUAGUAAACAAAAAUGGGUACGGAGGAACCAUGUUUUGGGGUGAAUCCCAGUUCAGUUGAACUGGGUAGGUUUUGUCUUUUUACCGAACCCGUCAGCUAACUCCGGAGGCACAAAAAGAAAGGGGUA